UAGAGAGAGACAUGCGCGCAUAUCAAUAAGCGGAGGAAAAGAAACUAACAAGGAUUCCCUUAGUAACGGCGAGUGAAGCGGGAAGAGCUCAAAUUUGUAAUCUUCAAGGUUCUACCUUGACGAAUUGUAGUUUAUAGAAGUGGUUUCUGUUAGUGGAGUGGCAAAAGUUCUUUGGAAUAGGACAUCAUAGAGGGUGAGAAUCCCGUAUUUGGUCAUUCCUCCUAGCGUUGUGAUACACUUUCAACGAGUCGGAUUGUUUGGGAAUGCAGUCCAAAAUGGGUGGUAAAUUUCAUCUAAAGCUAAAUAUUGGCGAGAGACCGAUAGCGAACAAGUACCGUGAGGGAAAGAUGAAAAGAACUUUGAAAAGAGAGUUAAACAGUACGUGAAAUUGUCAAAAGGGAAGCGUUUGACACCAGUGUUGUUUUUCCGAAAAUCAAUUACGAAUGUUUUAGUUUUUGAGGAGUUAUGACUUCAUCGGCUUGCUCCUUUCUUUAUGAAACUUUCUUAAUGCACUUUUCGGUUAACAAGUCAACAUCAAUUUCUUUUGUUGUAAAAGGGUAUGAGGAAGGUGGCUUUCUUUUCGGAGAAAGUGUUUAUAGCCUUGUGCCUCUGCAAUCGGAGAGAUUGAGGUCUGCAGCGUAGAUCCUUCGGGGUUAGAUACGUUUGUGCUAAGUUACAGCUUUUCAUAGACGACUUGUUGACUAUGUUUAGUCUUGUAGCUUACUCGCUGACGCUAUUUUACCUACGCUUAGGAUGUUGAUAGUCACAGCGUGUAC
rnacentral:rRNA from 1 species